ACAGCAUGACGUGAACACGUGCUGAUAGCAUAAUCGCGGAAGGGACGUUCUGAUCGAGGGACGGCGCUCGACGAUUCCUGAUCAAUGAUCCAUCUUUGGUUAAUCGAUAACAUCUGAAUCUGUGGGAAAUCGACGAGAUGAAUGAAAGACGCACUCCGAGUACCUUCGAAACGUUCCUAAAAAAUUUAACGGUCCGUCUGCUCGAAAAUGGCAACAGGCCAAUUUCGAAAAACUUCGAGGAAUCCCAAGAAACAUGUUCACGUACCGCAUCGUCCCAUUUGGGCCGUAUCGUUGAAAAAUAUUCCAUACAAUGUUGCAAAUUCUUCGUACAACGCAUUAGCGAAAUCUGCUCGCAGAAACAGAAUGGACGAUCGAAAGCGUGGGAUCGACAACAAGUCCAGGAACUGUUGAUCGAAACGACGCGGGGAUGGAAUCCGCAGGAAACGCGAUCGAGGUCGAAGAAUUUGAGCAGAGUAAAGUAUUGACGUCGACGAGAAUCGAAAAUUGAACGUCCAAUCAAUUUUUCCCUCGAGCUUUCGCCGACGAACGAAAGCGACGGAAAUCCAUCAAAGAUCGAAGAAAAUCGCAAACCUUAGAUAAUGAUCAAUUUUAUUGAGGACUUUCGAUUUUAGGCCGAGCCUUUUCCUCGAUCCUUCGAUCGAUUUUCGUUCAUCGAGGCAUCGAAUCGGAUUUCUCGAAGAAUUUUCAACCGUUUUAUAGAAUUUCGCAAAUUUCCAGCCGCUAUCGAACUUUGCCAGACGCACUCGGGUAGUUUUAGUUUUGUUAUCUUUAUCUUUGGCGAUAAAAAUACGUUCUUGCUAUGGUUUCAUUCAAAGCGUAGCAAAUGGUGUUUAAUUCAUAUUAGAUUAAUUAUCAUGGCAAGUUUACG